rnacentral:lncRNA from 1 species
CGAACGUCAGGAAAGGUCGGUUGGUUCGCAGUGUGGCCAAACGGCCCAAUUAGCACAAGGCGAAGGGCCUCUGAACCCGGAUUGGCACCGUCUCUGCCUAUAGAGAGAGGGGGCGGGCCUGGGGGCGCUGAGGCCCCGCCCCGGAUGUGGGCAUGGCCCGAGCUGGAGCCCGGAGCCGCCGCCGCGCUGCCCCGGCGAGGCGGAACUGAGAUCUCUCUCUUGGUUAUCAUGUGACGGGCUCUGGAUUUAAUGGAGGAGAAAGGGUGGAAAAGGCCGAGGAUCCAAACUGGCGAGCUUUCUGGUCUCCGCGGCCCUCCCCGCUCUCCGGCCGGCGGCGCUGCCAGCCUCCUAUGCCACCAUGGCAGCCUUUGGUCAGGAAAGGAGACCUGGAGAAAAUGCCUUCCUGGGAGCAAAAGCCUCCGCUUUUCAUACUGCAGUAUGAAGCAUCCCGAUCUGCCAGCUAAGGUAUAUUUCCCUUUUUUCGACUCUGCAAC